AUUGAACGCUGGCGGCAUGCCUUACACAUGCAAGUCGAACGGCAGCAUGGAGAGCUUGCUCUCUGAUGGCGAGUGGCGAGCGGGUGAGUAAUGCAUCGGAACGUACCGUGUAAUGGGGGAUAACGUAGCGAAAGUUACGCUAAUACCGCAUACAACCUGAGGGUGAAAGCAGGGGAUCGCAAGACCUUGCGUUAUACGAGCGGCCGAUGUCAGAUUAGCUAGUUGGUGAGGUAAAGGCUCACCAAGGCGACGAUCUGUAGCGGGUCUGAGAGGAUGAUCCGCCACACUGGGACUGAGACACGGCCCAGACUCCUACGGGAGGCAGCAGUGGGGAAUUUUGGACAAUGGGGGCAACCCUGAUCCAGCCAUGCCGCGCGAGUGAAGAAGGCCUUCGGGUUGUAAAGCUCUUUCGACCGGGAAGAAAUCGCACAGGCUAAUACUCUGUGUGGAUGACGGUACCGGCAUAAGAAGCACCGGCUAACUACGUGCCAGCCGCCGCGGUAA
rnacentral:rRNA from 1 species